CAAAAGUUGAAAGAAAACUAAUGAGUUCCUAAACUGAUGAUAGUACUUGGACAUGUGUUAUCACUCUAUCCAUUUUUCAAAGCAACUCAUUUCAAUCAACAUUUAUUGUUUAUAUCUUCUGUGCAGGAAGCUGUGCCCUGAACUGGAGAUACAAGAGAGAAAAGCAAACCAUUUUAGCCAGCAAGAACAUGAUCAUCCUCUCAAGAUUAUUCUCCUUAAGAAGCAUGACUUCCUCCUCCCCUCUACUGUCGUCAUGAUCACCACCAUCACCAAACACCAGCAUGUAGCACAGAUUGCGGCCUAA
rnacentral:lncRNA from 1 species